UACGAAGGGGCUAGCGUUGUUCGGAAUUACUGGCGUAAAGCGCGCGCAGGCGGUUUCUCAAGUCAGUGGUGAAAGCCCGGAGCUCAACUCCGGAACUGCCAUUGAAACUGUGAAACUUGAGGACGAGAGAGGUGAGUGGAAUUCCCAGUGUAGAGGUGAAAUUCGUAGAUAUUGGGAAGAACACCGGUGGCGAAGGCGGCUCACUGGCUCGUUUCUGACGCUCAGGCGCGACAGCGUGGGAUCGAAACAGG
rnacentral:rRNA from 1 species